rnacentral:rRNA from 1 species
UGGCGGACGGGUGAGUAAUGUCUGGAAAACUGCCCGAUGGAGGGGGAUAACUACUGGAAACGGUAGCUAAUACCGCAUAACGUCGCAAGACCAAAGAGGGGGACCUUCGGGCCUCUUGCCAUCGGAUGUGCCCAGAUGGGAUUAGCUAGUAGGUGGGGUAACGGCUCACCUAGGCGACGAUCCCUAGCUGGUCUGAGAGGAUGACCAGCCACGCUGGAACUGAGACACGGUCCAG